rnacentral:rRNA from 1 species
GUCCGAGGUGGAAGCGUGGCGACACGUGGAGCUGACGGAUACUAAUCGAUCGAGGGCUUAACCUA